GUUGGUGAAUUAGCGGAGGGAUCAUUACAAGAAGCCGAAAGGCUACUUAAAACUAUCGCGAACAUGUCCAAGUUGCUUCGGCGGCGCGGGAUCUCUCGGGGGACCGCAGCGUUGCUUCCCCUUUGGGGGUUGCGGGGCGUCUGCUGGAGGUCACAAACUCUCAUGUAUUAUAGUGGAUUUCUGAGUAAAAAACAAAUAAGUUAAAACUUUCAACAACGGAUCUCUUGGUUCUG
rnacentral:misc_RNA from 1 species